AUUUUGGUCUUAACAGAAUUAAAAUGCUCAACCUUCCUGAAGUGCGAGUUUGCUCCCAAGGGAACUGCAGGAUGGAGGGCCCCACGGAGCAGGCAGCUCGGAGGGAGAGGCGGCGCGGCGGAGCCUUUCCGGGCUGCGUCGGGUUUUCCGACGGCUCCGCGGCUCCUCGGGAAGCUGCCUGCCUUCUUGCCCCCUCUGGGUCCUUUCUGCUUGACUUCUCACCUCCAGUUUUCUAGACCUCUAAGAGGAAACAAAACCCCACCAUUUGGGUGGUCCCCAAACGCUGGCCUUUCUCUUGGCUAUACAUAUGUUAAAAGACCUCCGUGAGGCCACUGCAGGAAUUCUCUGUCCCCAGGAGCUGACGCUUCCUUUCCUUAGAAAAGUCAAUCUGAACCUAGCAUGCACAGUAAGCAGAAAGUAAUGCAGACGGUUAAUUAAAAUAAAUAAAAACCCUGAGUCCAAGAUGUGGCAACCGGCCUGGAUUCUUUGAUAACUGUGAGUAACAUCUGGCCUUAUUUUGAAAUAUCAUCCACAAUAAUUUCUGAAACAGCAGAGCUUUCUGAUGCCCCAGCUCUUUGUUGUUUCCAGCAGGGUUUUUCCGGCCGCCCGUCGCUCGUCACCAGCACCUGGAUGCAGGAUUGGUUUCACCUGCUGAGCCAACCUCUCCGUGGCAGAGGGGCAGCUGUGCUCUUGCUCUUAAGGGAGUUGCUUUAGCCAUGGUGUUUUGUCUGCUCUGAGGCUUGGGAUUAGUGUUCUGCUGGGAUUUGAUGUAAAGAUGUGUCUUCCUUUAGAUGCCCAUAGAGGUCCACGGAUCCAUUCUGCUGUAUGAAAUCGAAGAUAAAUUGUUUACCGGAUUUAAGGGGGCGAGGAGAUUAUGCACUUUCUUAUUUUUAAUAUUUCUCUCUGCUAUCUGCUGUUGCUGGACAGAAAUUUCAAGCAACAGUUCUUGGAAAACAUAUGGAGACGCACAGUGCGAGCGUUGUAAGAGACGUACGCAGGUGGGAUGGUGGUUAUCUCAGUCCCACUCCCUGUAAACUCAACGCUUAUGGACAGGCGAAAGGGAAGACAGGGAGAUCCAGCCGAAUCGGACAAGAAACUGAGACUGCGCCUUUCCGAAUGGAAUCGGUGAAGGCAGUGCGGAUAACUCCUGGCAGCUGGACAUGUGCCAGUUCCUUUUAGGAACACCCAUUUGAAGUCAUCGAAGAGCAGAUGGAGAUGGCAGGAGACAGCUAGAGCAGCCGCUAGCCGGGACUGCGCUGCGCAGACCUCAGCUCUCUCCAAGCACUGGCAGGACCCUCACGGCUGGGGAUGAGGAGCUGCUGUUUGCCUCUCCGAAACGCCCACCUGCAAGACAGGAGUCUUGUUUCAGAAGUUUCCUUGCAAAAAAUCCUGGGGAGUACUGCUAACCCUCAGUACCGGCCUGGUGGUGUGUUGGGCUUUGAGUAAUACAGCGCUUGCUAGGAAAUCAUAAUUUAUUGAGGUCAAUGGGUUAAUGGGCUGGGCUAUGUGCUACCAAUUGGUAGACAUAAAAUAUAUUUGGUCCUGUGACAUACCUAAAAGGUUUUCAAUAGAGGGAGGCUUGCAAUAAAAUGUGUGAUGAGUUGUUAUA